AAGCUGUGUAGACCCUUAGGAGCUUGUCAUGCGGUUAAAAUCAAGAUUCACUUGCACGUUCACUCAUACAUGCUGCUUCUACUCCAGAAGUACGCAUCUACAUACAUCCAUUCAUUUCCAUCUCCAGAUUCACCAAAAAUUAUUCUACUCCUAUCCAGGAGAGAAUAACCAAAACAUUAUCCUAUCCCUGUUAUUCCCCGUGAAAUACAUGCUCGAGAUAUUUUGGUUACUACCACUUGCUACAUUAUUCCAGGAGGGUGAGUGCUUUGAAAAAAAAGUGAAUACGAGGAAAUAAAAAGGGGCAAGUGCUCGGAACCUCGAAGAAAAGAAAAAGUGAGACGAGAGAUAAAAAUGGACAAGUGUCCAACAGUAGAAUUAGGGGUACAAGAUACCCACCUAAGAGAAAAGAAAAAGAAAAUAUAGAGCAUCUCAUUCCCCUCAAAAAGUUUCAAAGAGCAAGAAAGGUAUGUAUCCCCUCAAAAGAGCAAAAGUAGAAUUAGACUUUCACCAUUGUUUUCACCAUUAUCAAAAUCACCACCAUACACCAUUCAUUCACCACACAUGCACAUCUUGAUUUGACUUAUUGACUUGUUUCUCUGGAUCCAUAGUUUGACUAUGAAAUAAAUGUCUUGUAAGUAUGUAUUAGCUGUCUCCCACCUAUGAGCUCC
rnacentral:lncRNA from 1 species